rfam:Oryza punctata chromosome 4, whole genome shotgun sequence.
UUUAAACAAAGGCACGAGCUUCCGGGUCUAAUUUUGAUCGUCCGUUUUAUUUGAAAUUUAUUUAUGGUUAGUAUUUUUAUUAUUAUUAGAUAAUAAAACAUGAUUAGUACUAUAUGCUUGAAUUAUGUAUUUUAAAUAUUUUAAAAAGAUUUAAAUAAGCCAGACGAUUAAAUUGAACAUAAAAUUUUAUAACUGUGUUUAAA